AGACAGCAGUCGCCACGGGAAUACGUAGGUGGCAAGCGUUGUCCGGAAUUAUUGGGCGUAAAGCGCGCGCAGGUGGUUUAAUAAGUCUGAUGUGAAAGCCCACGGCUCAACCGUGGAGAGUCAUUGGAAACUGUUAAACUUGAGUGCAGGAGAGAAAAGUGGAAUUCCUAGUGUAGCGGUGAAAUGCGUAGAGAUUAGGAGGAACACCAGUGGCGAAGGCGGCUUUUUGGCCUGUAACUGACACUGAGGCGCGAAAGCGUGGGGAGCAAACAGGAUUAGAUACCCGGGUAGUCCCUGUCUCUUAUAC
rnacentral:rRNA from 1 species